GCAAACAGCUGUGUCAUGCUUCUCAGAGUUUGCAGCAGGGCUCCUUGACUUUGGCACCUGUACAGAGAGGGACUGCCACCUGAACAUCACUUCUCAUCCUAGCUUCUUACUGACAUGUAAACAGUUUCUAUUGUUAAUUUUUUUUUAUGCUGAGCAGAUGGCCUUGCUGAAGCAAGCUAUGGGGAUCAAGUUUUUUUUUUUAAAGUUGUGUUUUUGGCAAGUUGUUUUGAUUCUCUAGUCCCUGAUUCAACAAAACAGCAUCUGUUUUCAUGGUGGUGAUAAUUACGAAAAGGACAGGAUCCUGAGAGAAGGCAAGGAUUUUGUUGGCUACUUCGGUUCUGAGAGGCACACCUGCAUUCCAACUGUUCCUCCAUGCCCAAUCUCUGCCCAAAACUUGGCGUUGAAUCUAGAUGCUCCCUGGACAUGCAGAAGGGGGACAAUGCAGGACCCCCUCUCAGUUUAUGCUGGUGAGGAGGAAGCCUAGCAGAGACUGGGGGGAUGCAGGAUUCCAAUAUGCAUAAUCCAAUGGAGGCAGGUGAACGCAGCAAGGUUUGCUCCACAGCUUGACAUCAUCUCUCACCCUGACACAAGGAAAUCUUUGUCUCCCUUAGCACCUGAAGAUACAAAUGGGAACCUAGUGAUUCAGCGGAUUGAAGUGAAGCCCACAGGGUCCGAUGGCUGUGCUGGUAUGAGGAGAAGACAUUACUGCUAUUGGUAACACCACCCAUGUUGAUGUUAUCACUGCAGGAGAACAUACAAUGGGGAGCCAGGGAGCUGCAGGAGAGGAGCUGCUUCUGUCUGGGGACACAGAUCACACCAGAGGGUAGGGAGCCCCUCCAAGUCCUCUCUGUGCUGCCAUGCAUUGUGCUAGAGCCCAGGCUCACUCUGAGUGCUACUGAACAUGCCAGUCUUUUUCUUGACGAGUGGGUGAGUGGAGGAGAAACAUUAAGUAUGAGCAAGGCUACCAACACAGAACAGCAGUUAUGUUUGUGUCUGUGAGUUUGUAUGGGUACAAUUUGGCAGUCAAAAAUGCUCCCUCUGACUAGUCCAAAAGCUGAAAUUUCAGCUAGGCAUGCUAAAGAUUUUCUGGAAUAUUGGCAGUGAUGCCUCUUAAAUGAUGUGUGACAAAGGGACUUGAGAGAGCACUGUGUGCUUAGAAGGUCUGAGCCUUUCUGGGAAACUCUGAGUCCUUUGGUCCAACAGAAGAAAAAUGUAAGCCUUGCCUUGGUGAGCUAUGGAUCCAAUCU
rnacentral:lncRNA from 1 species